GUAUAAGAGACAGCAGUAGCCACGGUAAUACGAAGGGGGCUAGCGUUGCUCGGAAUGACUGGGCGUAAAGGGCGCGUAGGCGGCGAUCAAAGUCAGGCGUGAAAUUCCUGGGCUCAACCUGGGGGCUGCGUUUGAUACUUGAUUGCUAGAGUGGGGAAGAGGGUCGUGGAAUUCCCAGUGUAGAGGUGAAUUUCGUAGAUAUUGGGAAGAACACCGGUGGCGAAGGCGGCGACCUGGUCCUUGACUGACGCUGAGGCGCGAAAGCGUGGGGAGCAAACAGGAUUAGAUACCCGCGUAGUCCCUGUCUCUUAUAC
rnacentral:rRNA from 1 species